rnacentral:rRNA from 1 species
UACGUAGGGUGCAAGCGUUGUCCGGAAUUAUUGGGCGUAAAGAGCUCGUAGGCGGUCUGUCGCGUCGGCUGUGAAAACCCGGGGCUCAACCCCGGGCCUGCAGUCGAUACGGGCAGACUAGAGUGCGGUAGGGGAGACUGGAAUUCCUGGUGUAGCGGUGAAAUGCGCAGAUAUCGGAAGGAACACCAGUGGCGAAGGCGGCUUCCUGGGCUAAUACUGACACUGAGGUGCGAAAGCGUGGGGAGCAAACAGG